rnacentral:rRNA from 1 species
GUACACUCCUGCGGGAGGCAGCAGUGGGGAAUUUUGGACAAUGGGCGAAAGCCUGAUCCAGCAAUGCCGCGUGAGUGAAGAAGGCCUUCGGGUUGUAAAGCUCUUUUGUCAGGGAAGAAACGGUGAAGCUAAUAUCUUUUGCUAAUGACGGUACCUGAAGAAUAAGCACCGGCUAACUACGUGCCAGCAGCCGCGGUAAUACGUAGGGUGCAAGCGUUAAUCGGAAUUACUGGGCGUAAAGCGUGCGCAGGCGGUUUUGUAAGUCUGAUGUGAAAUCCCCGGGCUCAACCUGGGAAUUGCAUUGGAGACUGCAAGGCUAGAAUCUGGCAGAGGGGGGUAGAAUUCCACGUGUAGUAGUGAAAUGCGUAGAUAUGUGGAGGAACACCGAUGGCGAAGGCAGCCCCCUGGGUCAAGAUUGACGCUCAUGCACGAAAGCGUGGGGAGCAAACAGGAUUAGAUACCCUAGUAGUCCCAUA